UGAGGAAUAUUGGUCAAUGGCCGGAAGGCUGAACCAGCCAUGCCGCGUGAAGGUCAGUGCCCUAUGGGCGUUAAACUUCUUUUGUGCGGGAGCAAUAAUGGUCACGUGUGGCCAGACGAGAGUACCGUACGAAUAAGCAUCGGCUAACUCCGUGCCAGCAGCCGCGGUAAUACGGGGGAUGCAAGCGUUAUCCGGAUUUAUUGGGUUUAAAGGGUGCGUAGGCUGUGAGGUAAGUCAGCGGUGAAAUGCCCCCGCUCAACGGGGUGAAGUGCCAUUGAUACUGCCUUGCUGGAAUGCGGAUGCCGUGGGAGGAAUGUGUGGUGUAGCGGUGAAAUGCAUAGAUAUCACACAGAACACCGAUUGCGAAGGCAUCUCACGAAUCCGCGAUUGACGCUGAUGC
rnacentral:rRNA from 1 species